rnacentral:rRNA from 1 species
GACGAACGCUGGCGGCGUGUUUAACACAUGCAAGUCGAACGGAAAGGCCCUGCUUUUGUGGGGUGCUCGAGUGGCGAACGGGUGAGUAACACGUGAGUAACCUGCCCUUGACUUUGGGAUAACUUCAGGAAACUGGGGCUAAUACCGGAUAGGAGCUCCUGCUGCAUGGUGGGGGUUGGAAAGUUUCGGCGGUUGGGGAUGGACUCGCGGCUUAUCAGCUUGUUGGUGGGGUAGUGGCUUACCAAGGCUUUGACGGGUAGCCGGCCUGAGAGGGUGACCGGCCACAUUGGGACUGAGAUACGGCCCAGACUCCUACGGGAGGCAGCAGUGGGGAAUAUUGCACAAUGGGCGGAAGCCUGAUGCAGCAACGCCGCGUGCGGGAUGACGGCCUUCGGGUUGUAAACCGCUUUCGCCUGUGACGAAGCGUGAGUGACGGUAAUGGGUAAAGAAGCACCGGCUAACUACGU